AGCAGCCGCGGUAAUUCCAGCUCCAAUAGCGUAUAUUAAAGUUGUUGCAGUUAAAAAGCUCGUAGUUGAAUUUCGGGAUCAAUACGUCGGUCAUGCUUUUUGGUACGAACUGGCGUCAUUGGUUUCUCCUUUCUGACGAACCAUGAUGUCAUUAAUUUGGUGUUAUGGGGAGUUGGGACUGUUACUUUGAAAAAUUAGAGUGUUUAAAGCAGGCAUAAGCUUGAAUACAUUAGCAUGGAAUAAUGAAAUAGGACGUUUGAUCCUAUUUUGUUGGUUUCUAGGAUCAACGUAAUGAUUAAUAGGGAUAGUUGGGGGCAUUAGUAUUCAAUUGUCAGAGGUGAAAUUCUUGGAUUUAUUGAAGACUAACUACUGCGAAAGCAUUUGCCAAGGAUGUUUUCAUUAAUCAAGAACGAAAGUUAGGGGAUCGAAGACGAUCAGAUACCGUCGUAGUCUUAACCAUAAACUAUGCCGACUAGGGAUCGGAUGAUGU
rnacentral:rRNA from 1 species